rnacentral:misc_RNA from 1 species
CUGAGUUCGGGGGCGAUCCCAGUCCCGACCUCCAACCCUUUGUGAACACAUCUUGUUGCUUCGGGGGCGACCCUGCCGUUCGCGGCAUUCCCCCCGGAGGUCAUCAAAACACUGCAUUAUUACGUCGGAGUAAAAAGUUAAUUUAAUA